rnacentral:lncRNA from 10 species
UUUAAAUGGAAAGUUAAAGGUAUCCUGACAUACAGCUGCAGAGACAGACACUGUAUUGCCUCGGGGAGAACUCCAGCCCCAAAGGGCACUUGCCCCUUUGGAGUCAGCCACCAUGUUAUGAGGAAGUCUGGGACACAUGAAGAGGCCACAUGCACUUAUUCUGUCUAAAAGCCCUAGCUAAUUGCAAGGCUGACAGCCAGCAGCAACUAUCAUUUUUGUGAAUAAAUAAGUCUUCAGAUGAUUCCAAAUCCCAGCCUUUGAGUCACCCCAGCUGAUGUCAAGUAGAGCAAAGAUGAGCUAUCCUCACCGAACUCCAUCUAAAUUGCUGAUUCCUGAGCAAAAUAAAU